rnacentral:lncRNA from 1 species
CAUGACCUUCUUUUCUCUCACUAAGGAUUCAUCAUUUCUCUUUUUUCCCUUUGCAGUAUUUUUAUUUUAUUUCCUUGCGUCAUUAUUCCCUUUCGCAGCCUCAAUUUGUUGUUCUCUCAUGAUAUCAAUAUUAUUUUUUCCCACGUCCUCAACUUUCUUCACUUCAUCACAUCAAUUGGUUUUCUCCUCUUGGAUUUAGUUGUUGGCC